GACGAACGCUGGCGGCGUGCUUAACACAUGCAAGUCGAACGGAAAGGCCCUGCUUUUGUGGGGUGCUCGAGUGGCGAACGGGUGAGUAACACGUGAGUAACCUGCCCUUGACUUUGGGAUAACUUCAGGAAACUGGGUCUAAUACCGGAUAGGAGCUCCUGCUGCAUGGUGGGGGUUGGAAAGUUUCGGCGGUUGGGGAUGGACUCGCGGCUUAUCAGCUUGUUGGUGGGGUAGUGGCUUACCAAGGCUUUGACGGGUAGCCGGCCUGAGAGGGUGACCGGCCACAUUGGGACUGAGAUACGGCCCAGACUCAGACGGGAGGCAGAAGUGGGGAAUAGUGAAAAAUGGGCGGAAGCCUGAUGCAGCAACGCCGCGUGCGGGAUGACGGCCUUCGGGUUGUAAACCGCUUUCGCCUGUGACGAAGCGUGAGUGACGGUAAUGGGUAAAGAAGCACCGGCUAAAUACGUG
rnacentral:rRNA from 1 species